AGAGUACGUGAAACCGCUCAAGGGAAACGGAAGGUGCUCGAGCAAACCWGUCCGGGGAAACUCACGGCCGGCCCCCGUUUCCGCGCGGUGCGCGCGUGCCACGUCGCCCCCGCGCGGCCUCCGGUUCAGCUUCGCGGCCGCGGGGCGACCCGGGAACCCGCGGGCGGCGCAGUGUCGGGUGCGCGCCCAAUGGGAACCGACCGUUCCCGCUGCAAAGGGGCGUGCACUUUUCCUUCGACAUAGUGCGUCRCGUUCCGUCGGUCGGCGGCCAAAGGACCCGGCGCGUGCCCCGCGCGGCGCGUCCGCUUCGCGGCGCGCGCGUUCGGAACCGUCGGUGUGCGGGCGGGGCGGGGCGGCUUAACGGCGCCCUCGACCCACCGCUCUMCCGGCCGCCGAGUAAGACCGGCCCCGUAGCGGGGCCGGCAGGCAACGACGUCAUGGAAUACGCGGAAGUCGUACCGAGCCCCUUUCGAGGRGCCGGGCCUCUCCGGACGUUUGUUCCGCGGCCGCGACCCCCUGGACCCCGUCCGCGCCUCCCCGGCGCGAGCGUGUAAGGUCGGGGAUCGAUCGUCCGCCGAGCCACAGGAGAGGGGGGAUUGAGCGCAAAACGCUCUCCCGUGAUGCAACGRCGACGUUAGUCUCGGGCCACCUUCCGACCCGUCUUGAAACACGGACCAAGGAGUAUAACACGUGCGCGAGUCAAUGGGUCUCCCGAAACCCACAGGCGAAGCGAAAGCGAAAGCGUCCCGCUCUCUCGGGGGCGGGGCGCGGGAGGAUGGCGCGGGGGGCGCGUCCGCGCGGCGUCGGCCUCGGCCGGCGCGUCCGCGGCGCGUCUCAAACCCCGGCCCGCACUCCCGGCGCGCCGUGCUCGGCGCAGCAUGAGCGCACACGUUGGUACCCGAAAGAUGGUGAACUAUGCAUGGCCAGGACGAAGCCAGGGGAAACCCUGGUGGAGGUCCGGAGCGAUUCUGACGUGCAAAUCGAUCGUCUGAGCUGUGUAUAGGGGCGAAAGACCAAUCGAACCAUCUAGUAGCUGGUUCCCUCCGAAGUUUCCCUCAGGAUAGCUGGCGCUCGCGCUCUAGAGAGAGAGUUGAUCGAAUCUCGUCCGGUAAAGCGAAUGAUUAGAGGCCUUAGGGCCGAAACGACCUUAACCUAUUCUCAAACUUUAAAUGGGCGAGAUCCCCGGCAUGCUCGAAGCGAAUAGCGGGCGGCGCCCUCGCUCGCGAGGCGCGUCCGCCCGCUGAUGCCGGGGGCGAGGAUCGCGAGAGCCCAUGGGCACUUUUGUAAAGAACUGGCGCUGUGGGAUGAACCAAACGGGGAGUUAAGGCGCCUAAACGAACGCUCAUGGGACACCAUGAAGGGCGUUGAUUGCUUAAGACAGCAGGACCGUGGCCAUGGAAGUCGGAAUCGGCUAAGGAGUGUGUAACAACUCACCUGCCGAAGCAACUAGCCCUGAAAAUGGAUGGCGCUAAAGCGUUCUGCCUAUACUCCCCCGCCGGCGGCAAGGAGAAGAGCGCCCCGCACGUCCCGCGUCGGGGGCCGUAKCCAGCUUAACCGCGGCAGCGGCAGGAGCUCUGUUAGGCCCCGGUGAGUAGGAGGGUCGCGACGGUGAGCGCASAAGGGUUGGGCGCGAGCCUGCCUGGAGCCGCCGUCGGUGCAGAUCUUGGUAGUAGUAGCAAAUACUCUAGCGAGACCCUGGAGGGCUGAUGCGGAGAAGGGUUUCGUGUGAACAGCCGUUGCACACGAGUCAGUCGAUCCUAAGCCCUAGGGGAGACCCGAUGCAGAUCCCUGCCGACGCAUUAGAGUGUACACGCCGGCGGGAUCGGGCGAAAGGGAAUCCGGUCCCUAUUCCGGAACCCGGUCGCGGAACCGUCUCACGUCGGGCCCCCCGCGCGCUCCGCGCGCGGGAAGCUCGUCGGGGUAACCCAACAAGACCCGGAGAAGCCGUCGGGAGGUCUGGGAAGAGUUUUCUUUUCUGUUUGAGCGUUCGGGUUCCCUGGAAUCGCCUAGCGCGGAGAGAGGGAAUGGAGCGCGUAGAGCACCG
rnacentral:rRNA from 1 species